UGCAAGUCGAACGAUGAUCCCAGCUUGCUGGGGGAUUAGUGGCGAACGGGUGAGUAACACGUGAGUAACCUGCCCUUGACUCUGGGAUAAGCCUGGGAAACUGGGUCUAAUACCGGAUAUGACCGCUCUGACGCAUGUCAUGGUGGUGGAAAGCUUUUGUGGUUUUGGAUGGACUCGCGGCCUAUCAGCUUGUUGGUGGGGUAAUGGCCUACCAAGGCGACGACGGGUAGCCGGCCUGAGAGGGUGACCGGCCACACUGGGACUGAGACACGGCCCAGACUCCUACGGGAGGCAGCAGUGGGGAAUAUUGCACAAUGGGCGCAAGCCUGAUGCAGCGACGCCGCGUGAGGGAUGACGGCCUUCGGGUUGUAAACCUCUUUCAGUAGGGAAGAAGCGAAAGUGACGGUACCUGCAGAAGAAGCGCCGGCUAACUACGUGCCAGCAGCCGCGGUAAUACGUAGGGCGCAAGCGUUAUCCGGAAUUAUUGGGCGUAAAGAGCUCGUAGGCGGUUUGUCGCGUCUGCUGUGAAAGACCGGGGCUCAACUCCGGUUCUGCAGUGGGUACGGGCAGACUAGAGUGAUGUAGGGGAGACUGGAAUUCCUGGUGUAGCGGUGAAAUGCGCAGAUAUCAGGAGGAACACCGAUGGCGAAGGCAGGUCUCUGGGCAUUAACUGACGCUGAGGAGCGAAAGCAUGGGGAGCGAACAGGAUUAGAUACCCUGGUAGUCCAUGCCGUAAACGUUGGGCACUAG
rnacentral:rRNA from 1 species